rnacentral:lncRNA from 1 species
GAUUGAGUGAUGCAAUCCAUCCUGUGAGUCAUUAUACCUUCUUUAUUGUGAUUAAAUAUUUUAUCUCAAGUAGUGCUUGGAUUUUUUCGGGAUUAGCUUCUUUCUCUCUUUGAGUUACAAAAAAAUUCAAAAAAUUUUUCGAUGUCAUUCCGAAAGUAUAUUUGUUGGGGUUGAGCUUCAUUUGAUAUUUUUGAAGUUCUCUAAAAGAUUUUUCG